AUUGAACGCUGGCGGCAGGCCUAACACAUGCAAGUCGAGCGAGCGGCGGACGGGUGAGUAAUGUAUGGGGACUGCCCGAUAGAGGGGGAUAACUACUGGAAACGGUGGCUAAUACCGCAUACUAUCGGAUAACCCAUAUGGGAUUAGCUAGUUGGUGGGGUAAAGGUUCACCUGGGCGACGAUCGCUAGCAGGUCUGAGAGGAUGAUCAGGCACACUGGGACUGAGACACGGCCCGGACUCCUACGGAGGCAGCAGGGGGGAAUAUUGCACAAGUGGCGAAAGCCUGAUGCAGCCAUGCAGCGGGUAUGAAGAAGGCCUGAGGGUUGUAAAGUACUUUCAGCGGGUAGGCGUUACCCGCAGAAGAAGCACCGGCUAACUCCGUGCCAGCAGCCGCGGUAAUUC
rnacentral:rRNA from 1 species